rnacentral:rRNA from 1 species
GUCCCAGACUCCUACGGGAGGCAGCAGUGAGGAAUAUUGGUCAAUGGGAGAGAUCCUGAACCAGCCAAGCCGCGUGAGGGAAGACGGCCCUAUGGGUUGUAAACCUCUUUUGUCGGAGAACAAAACCCGGGACGUGUCCCGGACUGCGUGUAUCCGAAGAAAAAGCAUCGGCUAACUCCGUGCCAGCAGCCGCGGUAAUACGGAGGAUGCGAGCGUUAUCCGGAUUUAUUGGGUUUAAAGGGUGCGUAGGCGGAAUAUCAAGUCAGCGGUAAAAAUUCGGGGCUCGACCCCGUCGUGCCGUUGAAACUGAUGUUCUUGAGUGGGCGAGAAGUAUGCGGAAUGCGUGGUGUAGCGGUGAAAUGCAUAGAUAUCACGCAGAACUCCGAUUGCGAAGGCAGCUUACCAAACUAUAUCUGACGUUGAGGCACGAAAGCGUGGGUAGCAAACAGGAUUAGAUACCCCUGUA